UGACGACUUUCAUUACUCCGGCCUUACAAAAUAGCCGGUGCUUUUGGAUUGGUUGCAGCAGGGACAGAGAGGGUCAGUUUAGAUGGCUUGACGGCACACCAGUGAUAUAUGAUGGUUGGGGACAAGGUGAACCAAACAAUAAUGGUGGAGUUCAAAAUUGUGCUUGCAUCAGGUCGGUCAGAGAGUUUAGAAAGCAUGGAAAAUGGGACGAUGACCUCUGUACAGCGGACAGAAACUUGAUUUGCCAGAAAGGAAUUUAUAAUUUCCGACUCGACACGAUCCCUCGAACUAUUCCCGGUUUCGCCCCGCGUUUUGCUCAUGUCUACUGCGCCGUCGAUGUCGAAAUCGAAGGAGAAACACUGUCUCCAGAUGACGUCAAGCUAUCCAUUGGUCAAACUCUAUCGUCAUCGAGACCGAUCUCUUACUUUUUGACGAGCCUUGAUGGUGAAUUCCGUAAUAAUAGUUUCCUCCUUUACAACGUGACCGAAGGUGACCAAAUCUUCUGCUACGCUGGUGAACUGCCUGACCGAAAUAGAUUCUUUUCACUGGCUACUAUUUCUGCGGUAUUUGA